GAAGAAAACCUAUGAACUGCAUCUCAUAAAGGGCAGCUGGACCAGCGAAUUCAGGAAAGGAAAAUAUGAAAGGUCUGUUCUGGGUGACUGUGGUCUUCUUCCUGUCUGCUGAAAACACUUUGGCUACUAUGGACCAGAAAUGGCUCGCAGAUAUUGUGCAAACCAUCAAGAAUAAGUAUCAGCUGGGUGACACUUCCAGUUGGGCUGUAAAUAUACCACAGAACCAAGAUCCAAGCCAUCUGAUGGAGGUUCUGCAGGAAGACCCACCAGAUGCAGUGAAAAUAGCAGUUUCAAAGGGUGACGUGUAUCAA